CAGUAGCCGCGGGAAUACGAAGGGGGCUAGCGUUGCUCGGAAUGACUGGGCGUAAAGGGCGCGUAGGCGGUUCGUACAGUCAGAUGUGAAAUUCCUGGGCUUAACCUGGGGGCUGCAUUUGAUACGUGCGGGCUUGAGUGGGGAAGAGGGUCGUGGAAUUCCCAGUGUAGAGGUGAAAUUCGUAGAUAUUGGGAAGAACACCGGUGGCGAAGGCGGCGACCUGGUCCUUGACUGACGCUGAGGCGCGAGAGCGUGGGGAGCAAACAGGAUUAGAUACCCCGGUAGUCCCUGUCUCUUAUAC
rnacentral:rRNA from 1 species